UACAGAGGUCCCGAGCGUUGUUCGGAUUCACUGGGCGUAAAGCGUGCGCAGGCGGUUAUGUAAGACAGAUGUGAAAUGCCCGGGCUUAACCUGGGAACUGCAUUUGUGACUGCAUGGCUAGAGUGUGUCAGAGGGGGGUAGAAUUCCACGUGUAGCAGUGAAAUGCGUAGAUAUGUGGAGGAAUACCGAUGGCGAAGGCAGCCCCCUGGGAUAACACUGACGCUCAUGCACGAAAGCGUGGGGAGCAAACAGG
rnacentral:rRNA from 1 species